rnacentral:lncRNA from 10 species
GAUUUUGCCUCAAAAAAUAAAUAAAUAAAUAAAUCAAAUUCCAAAUUAUUAUAUACAAAUAUAUAUGCAGCUUUCCAAGGACAAAUGGACUGUUCUAAAAAAAAAAAAAAAAAAGGCCACCACGGUGGGUGAUGCCUGUAAUCCCAGCACUUUGGGUUGCAGUGAGCCAAGAUUGCACCACUGUACUCUGGCCUGAGCAACAAAGGCAGAGACUCCAUCUCAA